GAGGAUUUGGCGCGACGGGCGUCACUCCCGGGCCGACCUCCAUCCCAGGCAGACGUACGGCAGGACGCUCCUCGUUAUGGCGCCAAAUAUUCAUCACUGCAAGGCCCUCCCCGGUUAUUAUGGAGCCAGCAUGACUUUAUAAAGGUGUCAAGUGCCCAUGCUGUGGUUGUGGCACUGAAACACUACAACACCUUCUAUUAGACUGUUACAAAAGCCAGCCCCUUAAAACACUCCAGAAGAAGAAGAAGAAAAAGAAGCAUCCACUCAACAAGAACUUCACAGUGGGAGGCAUUACAAAGGCCAGCCCCUUAAACCACUCCAGAAGAAGAAGAAAAAGAAGCAUCCACUCAACAAGGACUUCACAGUGGGAGGCGUUACAAAGGCCAGCCCCUUAAACCACUCCAGAAGAAGAAAAGGAAGAAAAAGAAGCAUCCACUCAACAAGAACUUCACAGUGGGAGGCAUUACAAAGGCCAGCCCCUUAAACCACUCCAGAAGAAGAA